rnacentral:rRNA from 1 species
ACGCACGCUGGCGGCAUGCCUCACACAUGCAAGUCGAACGCGACCUUCGGGUCUAGUGGCGCACGGGUGCGUAACGCGUGGGAACCUGCCCUUAGGUUCGGAAUAACUCCCCGAAAGGGGUGCUAAUACCGGAUAAUGUCUUCGGACCAAAGAUUUAUCGCCUUUGGAUGGGCCCGCGUUGGAUUAGCUAGUUGGUAGGGUAAAAGCCUACCAAGGCGACGAUCCAUAGCUGGUCUGAGAGGAUGAUCAGCCACACUGGGACUGAGACACGGCCCAGACUCCUACGGGAGGCAGCAGUGGGGAAUAUUGGACAAUGGGCGAAAGCCUGAUCCAGCAAUGCCGCGUGAGUGAUGAAGGCCUUAGGGUUGUAAAGCUCUUUUACCCGGGAUGAUAAUGACAGUACCGGGAGAAUAAGCUCCGGCUAACUCCGUG